UUAUUAUUAUUAUUAUUAUUAUUAUGUGAAAAACUCACAGCUUAUUUUGCUGGUUAUGAUGGAAAGUAUCAGCUGAGCACAGCCAGUAGACUAAGGUGACACUUGUUUACU